rnacentral:rRNA from 1 species
GCCCAGAUGGGAUUAGCUUGUUGGUGAGGUAACGGCUCACCAAGGCGACGAUCCCUAGCUGGUCUGAGAGGAUGACCAGCCACACUGGAACUGAGACACGGUCCAGACUCCUACGGGAGGCAGCAGUGGGGAAUAUUGCACAAUGGGCGCAAGCCUGAUGCAGCCAUGCCGCGUGUAUGAAGAAGGCCUUCGGGUUGUAAAGUACUUUCAGCGGGGAGGAAGGUGUUGUGGUUAAUAACCGCAGCAAUUGACGUUACCCGCAGAAGAAGCACCGGCUAACUCCGUGCCAGCAGCCGCGGUAAUACGGAGGGUGCAAGCGUUAAUCGGAAUUACUGGGCGUAAAGCGCACGCAGGCGGUCUGUCAAGUCGGAUGUGAAAUCCCCGGGCUCAACCUGGGAACUGCAUUCGAAACUGGCAGGCUUGAGUCUUGUAG